CAGCCGUAAACAAUGUGCGUUAGGUGUGUCGGUAACCACGCGUUACUGAUGCGCCGAAGAGAAAUCGUGAAACGCACCACCUGGGAAGUACGGUCGCAAGGCUGAAACUUAAAGGAAUUGGCGGGGGAGCACCACAACAGGUGGAGCCUGCGGUUUAAUUGGAUUCAACGCCGGACAUCUCACCGGAUAAGACAGCUGAAUGAUUGCCGGGCUGAAGACCCUGCAUGACUAGCUGAGAGGUGGUGCAUGGCGUAGUCGUGU
rnacentral:rRNA from 1 species